AGAGUUUGAUCAUGGCUCAGGACGAACGCUGACGGUGUGCUUUAGGCAUGCAAGUCGAACGAGAAAGCCCUUCGGGGUGAGUACAGUGGCGAACGGGUGAGUAACACGUGGGCAACCUGCCCCUCGCAGGGGGACAACCGGAGGAAACUCCGGCUAAUACCCCGUACGCUCCACGCAUCGCAUGUUGUGUGGAGGAAAGGUAGCCUCGGCUAUCCGGCGAGGGAUGGGCCCGCGGUGCAUUAGCUAGUUGGUGGGGUAACGGCCCACCAAGGCGACGAUGCGUAGCUGGUCUGAGAGGAUGAUCAGCCACACUGGGACUGAGACACGGCCCAGACUCCUACGGGAGGCAGCAGCCAGGAAUCUUGGGCAAUGGGCGAAAGCCUGACCCAGCAACACCGUGUGGGUGAUGAAGGCCUUCGGGUCGUAAAGCCCUGUUGAUAGGGACGAAGGGCGAAGGGUUAAUAGCCCCUAGCUUGACGGUACCUUUCGAGGAAGCCCCGGCUAACUACGUGCCAGCAGCCGCGGUAAUACGUAGGGGGCGAGCGUUGUCCGGAAUUAUUGGGCGUAAAGAGCGUGUAGGCGGUUCGGUAAGUCUGUCGUGAAAUCCUGGGGCUCAACCCCGGGCGUGCGAUGGAUACUGCCGGGCUAGAGGGUGGUAGAGGCGAGUGGAAUUCCCGGUGUAGCGGUGAAAUGCGCAGAUAUCGGGAGGAACACCAGUAGCGAAGGCGGCUCGCUGGGCCACACCUGACGCUGAGACGCGAAAGCUAGGGGAGCGAACAGGAUUAGAUACCCCAGUAGUCC
rnacentral:rRNA from 1 species